AUCAGAGACGAAACCGCAGCACCAACUCUUCCUGGUUCAAAAUGCCUCCCUUUCCGAGCCGAUGACGGGCCUCCACGAACACCCUUAGUGCAGUUCUUCUCGCGUAAGAACGUGGAAAGGGAUCUCGUUUCGGUCUGGUAAUGUACUACGGCGUCGAGGAACUGUGAGAGUAUGUAAACCAGGCUAAGAAGCAUGAUGAGAAGAGGAACCUGAACACCUGAGGGAGCUAGAAUUGCACAGGAGUGGUGGAAUGUGAAAGCAUCCAUAAUGGAUUUUGCACAUAUGGCAAAUGAGUUCUGCAGAAUAAGGCUUCUGUACUUGUCUUGUUUCUCCUACCUUCAAAAAUGUUUCAGACUUAAUGUUAGCCUGUUAAUGAUGCAGGUACAUGAGCAACAGUGUUUAUUAAGUCCACGGGACUGCCACUCGAUGAUUAUUAUUGGAUUUUUUAUUAUUUUUUUUUUUAAUUAAAUGAAUUUCUAGAAGUAUGUAUUCUCUUUCUCCUCAGACUGUUUUGAGUAUCGGUUAUGUAUACUUAUGUAUACUUUCUCUGGAGACUCUUUUGAGUAUUGGUUAAUCACUUUAAUGUACACAAAAAAUUCAAAGUACGCAAAUAAAAUUAAAGGCUUAAUUGCAUCCUUUA